AUUGAACGCUGGCGGCAGGCCUAACGCAUGCAAGUCGAGCGGAUGAAGGGAGCUUGCUCCUGGAUUCAGCGGCGGACGGGUGAGUAAUGCCUAGGAAUCUGCCUGGUAGUGGGGGAUAACGUCCGGAAACGGGCGCUAAUACCGCAUACGUCCUGAGGGAGAAAGUGGGGGAUCUUCGGACCUCACGCUAUCAGAUGAGCCUAGGUCGGAUUAGCUAGUUGGUGGGGUAAAGGCCUACCAAGGCGACGAUCCGUAACUGGUCUGAGAGGAUGAUCAGUCACACUGGAACUGAGACACGGUCCAGACUCCUACGGGAGGCAGCAGUGGGGAAUAUUGGACAAUGGGCGAAAGCCUGAUCCAGCCAUGCCGCGUGUGUGAAGAAGGUCUUCGGAUUGUAAAGCACUUUAAGUUGGGAGGAAGGGCAGUAAGUUAAUACCUUGCUGUUUUGACGUUACCAACAGGAUAAGCACCGGCUAACUUCGUG
rnacentral:rRNA from 1 species